CUGCAGCUCAAGUGGUGACCGCUAUUAUUGGGCCUAAAACGUUCGUAGCCGGUUUGGUAAAUGCCUGGGUAAAUCGUGUAGCUUAACUAUACGAAUUCCGGGUAGACUGUCAAACUUGAGACCGGGAGAAGCUAGAGGUACUCCUGGGGUAGAGGUGAAAUUCUGUAAUCCUGGGGGGACCACCAGUGGCGAAGGCGUCUAGCUAGAACGGGUCUGACGGUGAGGAACGAAGCCCUGGGGCGCAAACCGGAUUAGAUACCCGAGUAGUCC
rnacentral:rRNA from 1 species